GAAUGCUGACAUAAGUAACGAUAAAGCGGGUGAAAAGCCCGCUCGCCGGAAGACCAAGGGUUCCUGUCCAACGUUAAUCGGGGCAGGGUGAGUCGACCCCUAAGGCGAGGCCGAAAGGCGUAGUCGAUGGGAAACGGGUUAAUAUUCCCGUACUUGGUGUUACUGCGAAGGGGGGACGGAGAAGGCUAUGUUGGCCGGGCGACGGUUGUCCCGGUUUAAGCGUGUAGGCUGGUUUUCCAGGCAAAUCCGGAAAAUCAAGGCUGAGGCGUGACGACGAGGCACUACGGUGCUGAAGCAACAAAUGCCCUGCUUCCAGGAAAAGCCUCUAAGCAUCAGGUAACACGAAAUCGUACCCCAAACCGACACAGGUGGUCAGGUAGAGAAUACCAAGGCGCUUGAGAGAACUCGGGUGAAGGAACUAGGCAAAAUGGUGCCGUAACUUCGGGAGAAGGCACGCUGACAUGUAGGUGAAGUGAUUUACUCAUGGAGCUGAAGUCAGUCGAAGAUACCAGCUGGCUGCAACUGUUUAUUAAAAACACAGCACUGUGCAAACACGAAAGUGGACGUAUACGGUGUGACGCCUGCCCGGUGCCGGAAGGUUAAUUGAUGGGGUCAGCGCAAGCGAAGCUCCUGAUCGAAGCCCCGGUAAACGGCGGCCGUAACUAUAACGGUCCUAAGGUAGCGAAAUUCCUUGUCGGGUAAGUUCCGACCUGCACGAAUGGCGUAAUGAUGGCCAGGCUGUCUCCACCCGAGACUCAGUGAAAUUGAACUCGCUGUGAAGAUGCAGUGUACCCGCGGCAAGACGGAAAGACCCCGUGAACCUUUACUAUAGCUUGACACUGAACAUUGAGCCUUGAUGUGUAGGAUAGGUGGGAGGCUUUGAAGUGUGGACGCCAGUCUGCAUGGAGCCGACCUUGAAAUACCACCCUUUAAUGUUUGAUGUUCUAACGUGGACCCGUGAUCCGGGUUGCGGACAGUGUCUGGUGGGUAGUUUGACUGGGGCGGUCUCCUCCUAAAGAGUAACGGAGGAGCACGAAGGUUGGCUAAUCCUGGUCGGACAUCAGGAGGUUAGUGCAAUGGCAUAAGCCAGCUUGACUGCGAGCGUGACGGCGCGAGCAGGUGCGAAAGCAGGUCAUAGUGAUCCGGUGGUUCUGAAUGGAAGGGCCAUCGCUCAACGGAUAAAAGGUACUCCGGGGAUAACAGGCUGAUACCGCCCAAGAGUUCAUAUCGACGGCGGUGUUUGGCACCUCGAUGUCGGCUCAUCACAUCCUGGGGCUGAAGUAGGUCCCAAGGGUAUGGCUGUUCGCCAUUUAAAGUGGUACGCGAGCUGGGUUUAGAACGUCGUGAGACAGUUCGGUCCCUAUCUGCCGUGGGCGCUGGAGAACUGAGGGGGGCUGCUCCUAGUACGAGAGGACCGGAGUGGACGCAUCACUGGUGUUCGGGUUGUCAUGCCAAUGGCACUGCCCGGUAGCUAAAUGCGGAAGAGAUAAGUGCUGAAAGCAUCUAAGCACGAAACUUGCCCCGA
rnacentral:rRNA from 1 species